UACGGGGGGAGCAAGCGUUGUUCGGAUUUACUGGGCGUAAAGGGCGCGUAGGCGGCGUGACAAGUCACUUGUGAAAUCUCCGGGCUUAACUCGGAACGGUCAAGUGAUACUGUUGUGCUAGAGUGCGGAAGGGGCAACUGGAAUUCUUGGUGUAGCGGUGAAAUGCGUAGAUAUCAAGAGGAAUACCUGUGGCGAAGGCGGGUUGCUGGGCCGACACUGACGCUGAGGCGCGAAAGCUAGGGGAGCGAACGGG
rnacentral:rRNA from 1 species